rnacentral:ncRNA from 2 species
UGCGCUGAAUUCGAUCCGGGUUCCCCGCCAUGCGACCGCGUGACGGGGUGAAACGGGAAGUCCGGUGAAGUCCGGGGGCACGCUCCCCUUGACCAGUCCGGCGCAGCCCCCGCUGCUGUAAGCCUGACGGAUCCGCCAUACGCCACUGAGCCUCGCGCUCGGGAAGGCGGCGGAAUCCGAAAGAAGGUGAGCCAGAAGACCGGCCCGAUCGAUUUGGAAGGU